GAUGAACGCUAGCGGCAGGCCUAACACAUGCAAGUCGAGGGGGAGGUUACUUUCGGGUAACUGAGACCGGCGUACGGGUGCGUAACGCGUAUACAAUCUGCCUUUCACUGGGGGAUAGCCCGAAGAAAUUUGGAUUAAUACCCCAUAGUAUAGUAAUACGGCAUCGUGAUGCUAUUAAAGCUUAGGUGGUGAAAGAUGAGUAUGCGUUCUAUUAGCUAGUUGGAGAGGUAACGGGUCCCCAAGGCGAUGAUAGAUAGGGGUUCUGAGAGGGAUGUCCCCCACACUGGUACUGAGAUACGGACCAGACUCCUACGGGAGGCAGCAGUGAGGAAUAUUGGACAAUGGUCGGAAGACUGAUCCAGCCAUGCCGCGUGCAGGAUGAAGGUCUUAUGGAUUGUAAACUGCUUUUGUAAGGGAAGAAUAAGGGCUACGCGUAGUUUGAUGACGGUACCUUACGAAUAAGCAUCGGCUAACUCCGUG
rnacentral:rRNA from 1 species